GAUGAACGCUGGCGGCGUGCCUAAUACAUGCAAGUCGAGCGAACAGACGAGGAGCUUGCUCCUCUGACGUUAGCGGCGGACGGGUGAGUAACACGUGGAUAACCUACCUAUAAGACUGGGAUAACUUCGGGAAACCGGAGCUAAUACCGGAUAAUAUAUUGAACCGUAUGGUUCAAUAGUUAAAGACGGUUUUGCUGUCACUUAUAGAUGGAUCCGCGCCGCAUUAGCUAGUUGGUAAGGUAACGGCUUACCAAGGCGACGAUGCGUAGCCGACCUGAGAGGGUGAUCGGCCACACUGGAACUGAGACACGGUCCAGACUCCUACGGGAGGCAGCAGUAGGGAAUCUUCCGCAAUGGGCGAAAGCCUGACGGAGCAACGCCGCGUGAGUGAUGAAGGUCUUCGGAUCGUAAAACUCUGUUAUUAGGGAAGAACAAAUGUGUAAGUAACUAUGCACGUCUUGACGGUACCUAAUCAGAAAGCCACGGCUAACUACGUG
rnacentral:rRNA from 1 species